GGCCCAGCCCCCGCCCUCCGCCCCUUCCGUCCCCACCCCCUACCCGGCGGCCCAGGAGGCUCCCGGCGCGGCGGGCGCGGCGAGCGCGCACUCCCUGCUCCUCCUCCUCGGUGGCGCUGCCUGCCUCUCCGCACUCGCUGCUCGCGCCUGGCGCGCUCCGUCGGCUCCCUGCUCUCCGCGCCACCCUCCUCCGGGCCGCGCUCCCUGAGGGAUGGUACUGAAUCUCGCCGCCACAGGAGCCCGGCUGGAGCGCCCGCCCCGCGGCCUCGCCACCCCGCCGAGCCGCCAGCGCCUCGGGACGCGAUGAGGACCUGGGCUUGUUUGCUGCUCCUCGGCUGCGGAUACCUCGCCAGUGCCCUGGCCGAGGAAGCCGAGAUCCCCCGCGAGGUCAUUGAGAGGCUGGCGCACAGUCAGAUACACAGCAUCCGGGACCUCCAGCGACUCCUGGAGAUAGACUCCGUAGGGGCCGAGGAGCCUCUGGAGACCAGCCUGAGAGCCCACGGGGGCCAUGGCACCAAGCAUGCGCUGGAGAAGCGGCCUGUGCCCAUUCGGAGGAAAAGGAGCAUCGAGGAAGCCAUCCCCGCAGUCUGCAAGACCAGGACGGUCAUUUAUGAGAUACCUCGGAGCCAGGUGGACCCCACGUCUGCCAACUUUCUGAUCUGGCCCCCGUGCGUGGAGGUGAAGCGCUGUACCGGCUGCUGCAACACCAGCAGUGUCAAGUGCCAACCGUCCCGCGUCCACCACCGGAGUGUCAAGGUGGCCAAGGUGGAGUACGUCAGGAAGAAGCCAAAGUUAAAAGAGGUGCAGGUGCGGCUGGAGGAGCACCUGGAAUGCACGUGCGCGAGCGCCAGCCCGAGCCCCGGCCACCGGGAAGAGGAGGCGGACUUUGCCCAGAGCAGCCCGGCGUCGUGACCGCCGUGUUGGGCCAGCUUGAGGGGACCAGGAAGUGUCUCCGUGCCAGCGCCAUCGAGUUGUUUUACAGAAAGACAAACACCCCAGGUAGGAGCCGGCCGCCGGCCAUGCCGCAGUCCUGGGGUGGGAGGCGCAGCGACUGAUCACUCGGCGAAUCACCCCGAAGGCGAGGACGCGCCCUGAUUGGCCUUGAUCCGUCCGCGAGCUUCUGCUGUCUGGCUGGGCUGCGGGUCUCCGCAUUCCCAUCCCCAACCCCUCCCCUCCCGCUGCUCGGGACACCUGGCCCAUGGCUCCCUCCUGCUCCGGGGCCCCUGCUCUGGCUUUGGUCCUUGUUGAUUGGGGAGGCAAAGGCAUCACACAAGCGGAGUGAUCUGGGUUCCCUGAGCAGCAGUGGGGUAGCUCUGACGUUUACUCGCUGGGAUCACCUCGGACAGGUUACCCACCUCCUUUGACAGAUGAAAAAACUGAGGCUUAGAGGGAUUACAGAUGAAGAUUGUUGAAGGCUGAGUAGAUCCUGUCUGAAAAUGCUUUGUAAACGUACAGGGCUGUUGGCUACUGUGUUGGCAGUUGUGUUUGGCUGCUAAUAACAUGCCAGAAACAAGGGUUGAGAUAAGGUAGGGAGACCAGAGCAUGUAUGGCAGUCUCAGGGACCCACUUCUUUCCAGGACUAGUGGUGUCCAUCCUCAGAGUUGCCUCAUGGCCCGAGAUGGCUGCCAAAGCUCCAGAAAUCACGUUACACUCCAGGCCUGGAAGAAAGAUUAUGGUGGGGACUGGGGACAAUGGUGAAAGGACCCAGUGACUUUUGCUUUGAUCUCAUUGGCCACCCCUCUGCUGUAAGGGGGCCUGGGAAAGGUGGUCUUUCAGAGGGGCUUCCCAGGAGAAAGUGGCUGUGGGCAACCACGGAGGAGGCAGUUUUAAGCCUUCCUGGUCCUUCGUGUUGGCCUGUCUGGCUCUGCAGAGCCUGGUCCUUGCUUAUGGGCAUGUGGGAGCCCAUGGCAUCCAAAACAAAUAGUUGUGAGAGGAAUUCUUGGAGACAGGUGCCCGGGAGCCCAGGCUCCAGCUGAGUGAUGUGUGACUGCAGAACGCUGCCAGGUCAGGAGUUUCUGAGGCCCGUAGGUCACGUUCGUUCAGGAGGGUCCUCUGGGGAGGAAAGGUCCACGUGGACAGAUCUUGAAGCAGCCCCAAAACGACUGCUCAGCCUUGGCUUUUGGGUCCCCAGGGUGUGGUGCAGGGGCUGGUUUUAUACCUGCCUGUGCUGCCAAGUUUAUGACCACUGGGCUUAGCCUCCAUGGGCUAGCUGAUGAUUGAUACCCCAAAGGGAGGGGCAGGCGUCCCUGCCUCCCUGCUAGCGUUCAGGCUGUGGGCAUGUGGUGGUACAAGUGUUGGGAUGAGCAACAGACAGGCGACGUAGGGUGGGGAAGAGCUGCUCUUAGCUCAGCUCAGUGUAGCUCUGCCUGGUCACAGAGACCCCUCUGUCUUGCUGGUGGCAUCCAUCCUCAGGGUUGCCUCAUGGCCCAAGAUGGCUGCAGGAUCUCCAGAAAUCACAUCAAGCUGUAGGCUGGAAGAAAGAAGAAGGUGAGGAGACAGGCAUAAGAACCUUUCUGGGCCUCAGUUUUCCCUAUCUGUACAAUGGGAGAAUGGGGUUUGCUAUGAAGCUGUGUACUGUGAGAUCCCAAGAGCCUAGUCCCAGUUCUGGUCAGGAUGUUACAGAAAGGGUAAUGAAGCAUAUUUGAUUUGAAAAUUUUAAUAAAAGCUCUGAAUCCUACGACUUGCCACGAGGCGUGUGUGUGUGUGUGUGCGCGCGUGUGCACACACCCCUGAUCGGCUUAAAUGUUUCACACAAUCGACGUCACUCAGCGGUGUGUGUGCUCGUGGCCUCUCAGCGUCUGUCUCUCCCCUCUGCCUGCAGAUGUGAGGUGAGGAUCAGCCAGCAGCCCUUUUCCGGGACACGGAUGUACAUGGCGUGUUACAUUCCUGAACCUACUAUGUACGGUGCUUAUUGCCAGCGUGGUCUUUGUUCUCCUCCGUGAAAACUGUCUCCAUGCACACUCUGGAGAACAAAGAGACAGUAUACGUUGUUUAUGUGACAUCAAAGCAAGUAUUGUAGCACUCGGUGAAACAAUAAGAAGCUUCCUUGUCAAAAAAAAGAGAGCAAACAAAACCACGGAACAUGACAAACAAAACUCCCUCACAAAAAUAUCUAAACAUUUGCCGGAAUGGAGGGACGCCCCGAGGGAUGGAAGUGACAGACGUCUCGGCAGACUGGAUCUCUUUCCAGGGUGGUCACAGGUGCUUUGGCCAAGGACACAGAGCCUGCUUUCUGAAGGCUGCGAUCGGAUGCCGCCGGGCUCUGCAGGGGCACGCAGGAGCCAGGAAUGUCUCGGAAACCACAUCUCCUUGCUGUAGUGUUUAAGUCUAUACAGAAACCUUCCUGAGAGCCUUAAGUGGAUUUUUUUUUACACCAUAAAGUGAUUAUUAAGCUUUCCUUUCUACUCUUUGCCUAGCUUUUUUUUUUUUUUUUUUAAUUAUCUCUUGGAUGACAUUUACACCGAUAACACCAGGCUGCAGUAACAGUCAGGACGGUGGGACGGUACCUUUCCUAGCAGGAUGCAAACAAAUGAGAUGUAUUAAAAUAAACAUGGUAUACCCACCUAUGCAUCAUUUCCUAAA